GACGAACGCUGGCGGCGUGCUUAACACAUGCAAGUCGAACGGAAAGGCCCUGCUUUUGUGGGGUGCUCAAGUGGCGAACGGGUGAGUAACACGUGAGUAACCUGCCCUUGACUUUGGGAUAACUUCAGGAAACUGGGGCUAAUACCGGAUAGGAGCUCCUGCUGCAUGGUGGGGGUUGGAAAGUUUCGGCGGUUGGGGAUGGACUCGCGGCUUAUCAGCUUGUUGGUGGGGUAGUGGCUUACCAAGGCUUUGACGGGUAGCCGGCCUGAGAGGGUGACCGGCCACAUUGGGACUGAGAUACGGCCCAGACUCCUCCGGGAGGCAGCAGUGGGGAAUAUUGCACCAUGGGCGGAAGCCUGAUGCAGCAACGCCGCGUGCGGGAUGACGGCCUUCGGGUUGUAAACCGCUUUCGCCUGUGACGAAGCGUGAGUGACGGUAAUGGGUAAAGAAGCACCGGCUAACUACGUG
rnacentral:rRNA from 1 species